GACGAACGCUGGCGGCGUGCUUAACACAUGCAAGUCGAACGGGCCUUGUCCCCUUUUUUUUUGGGGGUGGGGUUAGUGGCGAACGGGUGAGUAACACGUGAGUAACCUGCCCCUCACUUCUGGAUAACCGCUUGAAAGGGUGGCUAAUACGGGGUGUUCUGGCCUGCUCGCAUGGGUGGGUUUGGAAAGAUUCGACCGGUUUUGGUUGUUUUGGUGGGGGAUGGGCUCGCGGCCUAUCAGCUUGUUGGUGGGGUGAUGGCCUGCCAAGGCUUUGACGGGUAGCCGGCCUGAGAGGGUGGGCGGUCACACUGGGACUGAGACACGGCCCAGACUCCUGCGGGAGGCAGCAGUGGGGAAUAUUGCACAAUGGGCGCAAGCCUGAUGCAGCGACGCCGCGUGAGGGAUGGAGGCCUUCGGGUUGGGAACCUCUUUCGCCAGUGAAGAAGGUCCUGCUCUUUGUGGUGGGGUUGACGGUAGCUGGGUUAAUGAAGCGCCGGCUAACUACGUG
rnacentral:rRNA from 1 species